rnacentral:rRNA from 1 species
CUCGUAGGCGGUUCGUCGCGUCCGGUGUGAAAGUCCAUCGCUUAACGGUGGAUCCGCGCCGGGUACGGGCGGGCUUGAGUGCGGUAGGGAGACUGGAAUUCCCGGUGUAACGGUGGAAUGUGUAGAUAUCGGGAAGAACACCAAUGGCGAAGGCAGGUCUCUGGGCCGUUACUGACGCUGAGGAGCGAAAGCGUGGGGAGCGAACA